UGGCAAGUCAGAUGUGAAAGCCCCGGGCUUAACUUGGGAAUUGCAUCUGAAACUGCUUUGCUUGAGUCCUGGAGGGGGUAGUGGAAUUCCCAGUGUAGCGGUGAAAUGCGUAGAUAUUGGGAGGAACACCGGCGGCGAAGGCGGCUACCUGGACAGUGACUGACGCUGAGGCGCGAAAGCUAGGGGAGCAAACGGGAUUAGAUACCCCGGUAGUCCUAACCGUAAACGAUGGGCACUUGGUGUUGGGGGUAUUGAGUCCCCCAGUGUCGUAAUUAACAUGGUAAGUGCCCCGCCUGGGGAGUACGGUCGCAAGACUGAAACUCAAAGGAAUUGACGGGGGCCCGCACAAGCGGUGGAGCAUGUGGUUCAAUUCGACGCAACGCGAAGAACCUUACCGGGGCUCGAACGGUAGUCGCUACUCCCGGAAACGGGAGGUUCUCGUAAGGGACGGCUACCGAGGUGCUGCAUGGCUGUCGUCAGCUCGUGUCGUGAGAUGUUGGGUUAAGUCCCGCAACGAGCGCAACCCUUGUCCUUAGUUGCCACCAGGUAAUGCUGAGCACCCUAAGGGAACUGUCGGCGAAAAGCCGGAGGAAGGUGGGGAUGACGUCAAGUCCUCAUGGCCCUUACGUCCCGGGCUUCACACGUGCUACAAUGGCCGGUACAAAGGGUUGCCAA
rnacentral:rRNA from 1 species